GCGGCCGUGGUCUAGUUGGUAAGAUGCCCGCCUUCCACGCGGGAGAUCCCGGGUUCAAAUCCCGGCGGCCGCA
rnacentral:tRNA from 1 species